AGGUGACCGGACGGUUGCGGCAGCUUGCUGUCGAGGAAAGUCCGAACACCACAGGACAGGAUGCCGGCUAACUACCGGCGGAGGCGACUCCAGGGAAAGUGCAACAGAAAUAAACCGCCGACUCGUUCGGCAAGGGUGGAACGGUGAGGUAAGAGCUCACACGGUCCCUCGGUAACGAGGGGCGCUAUGUAAACCCCAUCCGGUGCAAGAUCGAGGGAAACGGGUCGUCCGCCCUCCCUCCCACAUCGCUAGAGCCGUACGGUAACGUACGGCCCAGACAGAUAGCCGUCCAAGACAGAAUUCGGCUUACAGGUCACU
rnacentral:RNase_P_RNA from 1 species